UACAGAGGUCUCAAGCGUUGUUCGGAUUCAUUGGGCGUAAAGGGUGCGUAGGUGGCGCUGUAAGUCGGGUGUGAAAUUUCGGAGCUUAACUCCGAAACUGCAUUCGAUACUGCGGUGCUUGAGGACUGGAGAGGAGACUGGAAUUCAUGGUGUAGCAGUGAAAUGCGUAGAGAUCAUGAGGAAGACCAGUGGCGAAGGCGGGUCUCUGGACAGUUCCUGACACUGAGGCACGGAGGCCAGGGGAGCAAACGGG
rnacentral:rRNA from 1 species